rnacentral:tRNA from 1 species
GCGAGAGUAGCUUAACGGUAAAGCGUCUGGCCGUUAACCAGUUGACUGCUGGUUCGAAUCCAGCCUCUUGCGCCA